rnacentral:rRNA from 1 species
AACGAACGCUGGCGGCAGGCUUAACACAUGCAAGUCGAGCGCCCCGCAAGGGGAGCGGCAGACGGGUGAGUAACACGUGGGAAUCUACCCAUCCCUGCGGAACAACUCCGGGAAACUGGAGCUAAUACCGCAUACGCCCUACGGGGAAAGAUUUAUCGGGGAUGGAUGAGCCCGCGUUGGAUUAGCUAGUUGGUGGGGUA